rnacentral:rRNA from 1 species
AACGUAGGACACAAGCGUUAUCCGGAAUUACUGGGCGUAAAGGGCUCGUAGGCGGCCAACUAAGUCGGAUGUGAAAUCCCCAGGCUCAACUUGGGAACUGCAUCCGAUACUGGAUGGCUUGAAUUCGGGAGAGGGAUGCAGAAUUCCAGGUGUAGCGGUGAAAUGCGUAGAUAUCUGGAGGAAUACCGGUGGCGAAGGCGGCAUCCUGGACCGACAUUGACGCUGAGGAGCGAAAGCUAGGGGAGCAAACGGG